rnacentral:lncRNA from 1 species
CGAACAUAACUUUAAAUCGACAUAUUAACAAAACCUAAGUAAAUCUUUUUUAAAGUAAAAGAAAAUAAAUAAAAUUUUGGAUGAAAUUAUCCCAAAUUAAUUAUAAGGAUCAAAAUCAUAAUUUAAGUUUAAAUCUAUAUAUGAAUUACACAAGACCUCAUUAAAGAAACAAUCUCAGUGCGUGAAUCUUUGUAGUGGAUCAAAGCGCAAAAUUU